AUUGAACGCUAGCGGGAUGCCUUACACAUGCAAGUCGAACGGAGUGGCGAACGGGUGAGUAAUGUAUCGGAAAGUGCCCAGUAGAGGGGGAUAACUACGCGAAAGCGUAGCUAAUACCGCAUACUUUUGGAGCGGUCGAGACCGGGUUAGCUAGUUGGUGGGGUAACGGCUCACCAAGGCGACGAUCCGUCGCUGGUUUGAGAGGACGACCAGCCACACUGGGACUGAUACACGGCCCAGACUCCUACGGGAGGCAGCAGUGGGGAAUUUUGGACAAUGGGGGAAACCCUGAUCCAGCCAUCCCGCGUGUUGUAUGAAGGCCUUCGGGUUGUAAAGCACUUUUGGCAUGAAAGCGGUACCUGCAGAAUAAGCACCGGCUAACUACGUGCCAGCAGCCGCGGUAAUUC
rnacentral:rRNA from 1 species